GUUAUCUUGGAGGACAGACGUGUAAGCAGAGAGCUCGGAUACCAUUACCAUGCUAGACGCACUUUCCAACUGCAUAACGGAGUACAUUUUCUUUAAAAAUCGACCCUGUCACUGCCCGUGCCCACAGUUAAAUCAUCCCACAAAAUAAAUUAAGUAGAAAGAGAUGGCUGCAGCUUUGUUUUUCUUGGCCAGUCACUAGGCCUCAACUCCCCAAGAUGAUCCUGCAAGAAGUCCACACUGUGUGACAGAUGAUGUAGAGGACGGUGUGUCAGACUCCCCACUUACUUGCUCAGAAGACAUAGCCCGCAUUUUACACCAAAUGAAAGUGGACAGGCAGUACCUAGCUUGGGGAACAAGCAAACAUCGGAGGAGGUAAAGGCGAAAUAAAUGCGUUAGGGGCCCUGACGGCCGAAUAACAGAAUAGAGUCGGUAGUAAAGGCAUAUAAUGAGGCAAUUAAACAAACACAAAAAUGACCUCAGCACAUGUAUAGUACUGAUUAAAACAUCUUUAGAAGACCCUGCUAACCGUUCCCUCUGUUAUAACUUACAGAUGCGUGGAGUUAUUUAUCGGUUCGGUUUCACUAGUUCACCAUGAAGGAAGCCAUACUUCGUAAAUGCUGCGGCUCAGAGGCCUCAAUCUAAGGCAUAGCCUUCCAGAUUUCUCAAGACUUAGCACCACUAACCCUGCAGAGGAGAAAGCUGUGGAAACCAAUUAUGGAA